UUGACGGGGAGCACCACAACGGGUGGAGCUUGCGGUUUAAUUGGAUUCAACGCCGGAAUCUUACCGGACCGACAGCAAUAUGAAGGCCAGGCUGAAGACUUUGCCGGAUUAGCUGAGAGGUGGUGCACGGCCGUCGUCAGUUCGUACUGUGAAGCAUCCUGUUAAGUCAGGCAACGAGCGAGACCCACGCCCACAGUUGCCAGCGUACUCUCUGGAGUGACGGGUACACUGUGGGGACCGCCGCUGCUAAAGCGGAGGAAGGAAUGGGCAACGGUAGGUCAGUAUGCCCCGAAUAUCCCGGGCUACACGCGAGCUACAAUGGUUGGUACAAUGGGUAUCUACCCCGAAAGGGGACGGGAAUCUCCUAAAACCAAUCUUAGUUCGGAUUGAGGGCUGCAACUCGCCCUCAUGAAGCUGGAAUCCGUAGUAAUCGUGUCUCAAAAUGGCACGGUGAAUAUGUCCCUGCUCCUU
rnacentral:rRNA from 1 species